UUUUAAUUGGAUAGAAAUAUAAAUAACAUAUGAAAGACAUGUCUUGAUUGAGAAAUAACUGAUUUAUUCACUUUAAAAAAAGAAAUCUUACCUUCAUGUUAUGAUUAUCAAUACAAAGGAAAAUGAGAUGUUUUGUUUUACUGUUUAAUCCAACAAACCCUCUUUGCACAUACUCAAUUAACAAUAUUAUUAUUGUCUAUAAUUUAAAUAUUCUUAUAUGCAAGCCUAUUUGUAUUACAUGGUGUAGUGUGGCUUAGGCAAAAUAAGAUUUAAGCAAUUGCUAAUUGUUUUCUAACCGUUUUUAAAGUUUAAAUUCUGGAAUAUUCACCGGCUCUGUCUCAGGGUUGCAGCAACCACCACUGUGCUCUUUUUUGUAAACAUGCUUCUCCCUCAAGAGGCUUGUUGUCGCUCGUCUGUUUGUUUCACAAUCCAGUUCAGUGGUGGGGAUGAGUCUACCCUUGUCAGUACAGAGCCUCAGGGGUCUCAACAGGAAUCCAAUAGCACUCGGUCUUGCAGCAGGCAGCUUUUAGAAGAAUGAACAAAAUUCAAGCUGCAGCAUAUUCUAUUUACACUGUGAACUGUGUUUUCACUGUUCCCAUUAGUCCAUAGGAAACAAACGUGGUCACUCUGGCUUAGAUCUUUUUAAAUUAUUCUCAUCAAACGUCAAAUUCUAGUCUGAAUUUCUUUUGUUUUUGAUCAUCAUUAUUUAGAUAAGGGCAUUGGCAUUGUUAGUGCAGUGUUGGCUGACGCAAUGCAUCUGUCAAAUAUUGACGACACCUGUAAUCUACUUUUUGAAAUUGUAUUGACUCACUGUGCAGUCAUGGCACUGGCCAAUCAACCACAGUACCUGUAGCUGGGUUGUUAGUACCUGUAUGAGUAAUCAGUCGACAAAUGAUUUGGCAGCACCCAUAGAGAGUUGCAUGUGAACAACUGAUAACCCUGUUAAUGUCCAAUAUUUCACAACACCCCACUCUAUCAAACAAGUAUUUAAAAAAACAACUCGAAAGCCUUCAAGUUAAUACCUCUUUUAUUCACUUUCAGUGUAUAUAUAUAUAUAAUGGGUAGUAAAAGCUGUUAUAGAACAUGCUGCUCUAUAAAGUAGCCACAACUACAUAGAAACUGCACAGUACAGUACAUAAAAGAGUAAUACUGGUUUAGCGUUGCCAAAGCAGAAUUAUCUUAAAGGAGAAUCUUCUCUGAGGAAUAAGACUACAGUUACAAUUUCUUAUUUGCAAAAGCUUAUACUUCGGCAGCACCAUCUCAACUAGUACACAUCAUAAACUCAUUACACCUAAGAAUGAUGAGU